rnacentral:tRNA from 1 species
GCGCUCGUAGCUCAACUGGAUAGAGCAUCAGCUUGCGGAGCUGGGGGUUACAGGUUCAAAUCCUGUCGAGCGCA